AAAUCUGGUUUGGAAGCUUUUGAUAUUAGAUUUGAUGAGCAUGCCCCUAAAGUAGCAUUGCCCCAGGGGAUAAUGGUACCAGUGAAUUCGUUUAAUACAAUAUACCAUUCAUCGGCUUUUUGGGGUUUGAUGCUUCCUGUAUCAGUAAGUACAAUGGCCUCUGAUGUGUUAAGGGGCUAUUGGGGACAAAGGCUAUUGUGGGAGAUUGGUGGCUAUGUUGUGGUUUAUCCACCUACUGUACAUAGAUAUGAUAGGAUUGAGGGAUACCCUUUUUCAGAAGAGAAAGAUCUACAUGUAAAUGUAGGGAGGUUAAUUAAGUUUUUGGUUUUGUGGAGGUCAACUAAGCAUAGGUUGUUUGAAAAGAUUUUGGAGCUGAGUUAUGCCAUGGCAGAGGAGGGCUUUUGGACUGAGCAAGAUGUGAAGUUUACUGCUGCUUGGCUUCAGGACUUGAUUGCUGUUGGGUAUCAGCAGCCUAGAUUAAUGUCAUUGGAAUUGGAUAGACCACGGGCAAGUAUUGGCCAUGGGGAUAGAAGGGAGUUUAUCCCUCGAAAGCUGCCAUCUGUGCAUCUGGGAGUAGAGGAAACAGGGACAGUGAGUUAUGAGAUUGGCAACUUGAUUCGGUGGAGGAAGAAUUUUGCAAAUAUUGUGCUUAUUAUGUUUUGCGCUGGGCCUGUGGAACGGACUGCUUUGGAA
rnacentral:misc_RNA from 1 species